AGCGCCCUUUCUCUUCCCUCGCCAAAUCAAACACUUGUAACAGCUGCAGCAGGAACUGAAAUACUUGGCAAUGAAUUCCAGAUUUCUCCUGGUUCAGAUGCGGCCUUAGGGAUUAAAUUUGUUUAUAUUUGCACUUUCGGGGUUAACUAAUAAGGGAGACGGAAGGCAAAGUCAGGCACACGGUAGAUGUUUCCUGUCUGACACUUGUCAUUUAAAAGCAUAAGAGAAAUUUGCUACUGCCACUGUCUUUUAAGCAUCCUUAAAUGACUCGUAGAGAUUUGUCACAGUUGGCUAGGAAUGCAGAGAUGUUCCUCUUAGGAGUUACUCAAGACUCUACUGACUCAUCCAGGGCUAAGCGGUUUGCACACAAAUUUAUCAUGUUUUCUUCCACUGUGGCUGAUAAAAGCUUGGUCCUGUCAAAGGUAAUCAAUAGCUUAUGGUAAACAUGCCUCUCUUGUUUUUAAUAGCAAAGCCAAGCUCAGUGGUCAACAGAGUUUGUUUUAAAAUGUCACUUAGCUGGUGUGUUUGUCAUACGAAACACACCUAAAUCCUAAAACUAGAAGUUUAGGGCUGAGUUAGUUGUUGAAAAAUAUCCCAGCAGUUAGGAAUAUGUGUUUUCUAACAUUGAUAUAGACUACUAGGUAGGUAAAUGAGAGGUUAGUUCAGUACUUAGGAUUAGAUGUUAGAAUUAGACACGUCUGGGCUCACUUCUUGCUAAAGUACUUUCUAUCUCUGUCACAUUGGUCUUCCUAUUUAAACUUUCUAAGCUUCAGUUUUUAUACCUGAAGUAUAGAAACAACAUUGCCUAUUUCAUGGAGUUAUUUUCAGGACCAAGUUGGGUAAAUUAUAGAUAUCAGCUGUUAUCGUUAUCCACAUAAUCAUCUGUUUUGCUUUUUAAUUAAAUAGUUCAUUUCCAUUUUUAAAUGCAUGUAUCACCUUUUAGCAUCAUUUUUUUUGGAAGGGCAGAGUAUGACUUGAUAAUUGUUAUUUUUUGCUGUAUUUAAUUAAAUAGAUUUCGUUUUUUAAGCUGAAACCCUAAUUUUAAAAUAGAAAUUAAAAAUUUUUUUCACAUCCCCAGUAGGGAAAGAAUAUUCCACAAGGUGUUGAUUUCUUGCUUCUAUGUGUUCUUUAAAUACUUCAAAUCAGAGGUGUAAUUAAUUGCAUGCAUCAGUGUAUCGCAGCAGUAAAAUAGAGAUCUUGUAGUCAAAUUUCAAUUCUUAUGUGUUAAUCGUGACUUUAAUUUUCUUAACUGACACUCUUCUUAUCAUCUAAGCAAAAAAAGGAACAAACAUAAAGUAUUUGUUGCCUAAAUAACCACUCAGAGGCACUGCUGAUAAUAAUUCAAUAUAACAUCUCAUGAAUUGAGCAUCUUUAGCUUAAGGAACCCAUGAUCUGAGAUGAAAUCCCAGCUCUGCCUUAGUAUUCUGUGUUUUAUGUCAGGUGCGUCAUUUAGACACUCUCAGAAUCCAUGGCUUUCUGUUGUGCAGGGCUAGAAGAGUUGAAAGUAUUUUUAAGAUCCAUAUGCCAUUUGAGCUUCAGGGAUGGGAUUAUGUCUUCACCUGUCUCUCACUCACGCAUAUUAAAGUAAUUAAAACUACAGCCUCGAAUUGGUUGGGUGACUUGGUUGGGUGGAGUGUUGUCCUAUGCACCAAAAGUUUGCAGGUUCAAGCCCCAGUAGGGUCGGGUAUAUGAGGCAACCUAUCUCUCUCUCUCUCUCUCUCUCUCUCUCUCUCUUUCUCUCUCUUCCCCUUACUCUCUCUCUCUCCUUCCCUCCCUUCCUAUCUCCCUCUCUCUCUUCCUCUUUCUCUCUUUCUAAAAAUCAAUGAAAACAUAUCCUUGGGUGAGAAUUAAAAAAAGAAAAACAAAACUAUAACCUCAUAUAGAUCCUAACUCAAUAUUUAUUACAUGUCUCUGUGUCCAUGAGUGAGUAAGAGGCAGAAACAUGAAAGCUGCCCAAAAAUUGGCAACCUUCCAAUUCUGCAUCAGAACCUAAGAGAGAUUAGUCCAAACACUCAAGAGGAUUGUAAUUAAACAGAAGAUUUAAAAAGCAACACCAGUAAUUAAUCACCAUCAUUCAGAGUGAGAGAAGCCCCAUAAGAUUCUGAAUCCCUGGGAAGGCAGGGGUAGUUCUUCUCUGUCUGGGUAGAGGGAUGGUGAGGAAUAAGGAACAGAGCUGAAUUUUGGCAUCACCCAUCUAUAAGACUAUGAGCCAAUUUCUGAUCUUCCAAAGAAGAGAUUAGAAACUUCUUGAAGGAAGGGCUAUUACUUCCUUCAAUCCUGUACUGAUCCCUUUUCACACUUGGACAGCAUCUGGGAGACUUCCCUGGAAGAGCACCCUGCAGCAGUAAGUGCACCUUCUUUGGGGCUGCAUUGACUCUCAAGCCAACUGGGCUGGAAUGAAAAGGCUCCCAGCAUCACCUUUCCCAGCCCUCCUGAAUCCUAAACCAAGGGUCUGGGGUCACACAGACAGAUGCAACCGUCUGAAAGGGGAGCAGCCAGAUACCAAUGAGAACAGACGUUUUAUUAAAACUAAAUGUGUGCAAUACAAACUUUUCUUAACGGGACAAGAAUAUUGAACAUCGUUUUACAAGACAACGAUGUAGGAGAAAUGUGGGUUUCUAUGUGAAAAAUCAAACCUGAAUUGUUGACAUAUGACUACACCUGUCCGUCCCCCCUUUCAUUUCUUGGUUGAAUCACCUCUAUUUACUUCUUUAAACUUCUCUAUAAUUCAUUCUCCAAUCAAACUCUGCCUACUUAAUUUUCCUUUUUGCAUGACAUAUGGCCCCAUCUGAGACAUUUAAGAUCUGGGCAUAGAGGAAUAUGGAUUUAAUUCCCAUUUCAUAAAGAGAUCUGGCUUUCAUUCAUUCUCUAAUUGCUUUAUUAUUCUUUAAUUUCACUUUUUGCCUAAAAAAUUGUGAACAUGUGUUAUAAAGUCUGAGCCUUACAAAACUUAGAGAAGAUAACCUUACAAAAUAUUUCCUAAUCAUCUGUAUGUGAUUACAGUCGCCCCUCCGCAGCCAGUGUGUUCUUGGGUCUGUUUCCAGUGCUUUAUUUUUAGGUUGUUGCAUGAGGCCAUGUAAUGAGCUAUCCAUGCUCUGGAUUCUAAUUCUACGCCAUCCUUCUCAUGUGAUUUCCUCCCUUCCCUUUUAUUAGACAUAUACUACCUCCCAGAUUUGGAGGUUAACGAUACAGGCUAUGUCUGGUGAUGAAAAACCUUGUGAAUCCCCGGGUGCGCUAGAGUGUUUUGAAUUUCCUUGAGCCCAUUUCAGAAGGUGCAGUUUGCUUCAUGUACACAGACUGUGAAUAUGUUACUAGCUUAAAACAUAAGCUGUGGAGAAAAUGUCCAGGCUGUUUCCAUAUGUUUUCUUUUUUAUUUCUUCUAUAAGCGCUAAAGCAGUGGUUCUCAACCUUCUGGCCCUUUAAAUACAGUUCCUCAUGUUGUGGUGACCCCCAACCAUAAAAUUAUUUUCGUUGCUACUACAUAACUGUAAUGUUGCUACUGUAUGAAUUGUAAUGUAAAUAUCUGAUAUGCAGGAUGGUCUUAGGCGACCCCUGUGAAAGGGUCGUUUGACCGCCAAAGGGGUCGCGACCCACAGGUUGAGAACCACUGCUCUAAAGGCUAUAUUUGGUUAAGAAUAACACUUUCAUGAACCGACUUAAAUUUUCUCAUGGAGUGCCCCACUGCAUCCUCUUUUAUACAUAGUGGUUUAAAACACAAAGCCAUUGUACUUGAAUCAGAAUUUUCUCUGUUCUUUUCCCUCCUCCAUCUGAAACAUGUUUGCAUUGAGAAUUAACAGGAAAGAUAAAGAGGCCAGCCUGAAGUGCCUUCUGGCACCUGUUCUAUCCAUGGUGUUAAAGUCAGAAAGAAGUGGGUUAAGUGAACAAUUGGGAAAGUGACUCUUUUCAUGCCCCGCAUGUUAACUGGAAUACUUUUCUUUCCCUGCUAAUUCUUUCUAAGAAAGAGCUAGAUGUUGGAGGUACCUACUCAACUGGUGCCCAUACAGGCUUCUGGAAAGUAAAUUUUGAUGACCUUAGAUUCUCCAUAGGCAGCAAGUCUUUGCCUUCCUCCUGUCGAUGUUAUGUGCAUGUAAACACUGACUAAAUUUUGAGAACAUUUAUGAAAGUUGCUUUAAACCAUCAAGAACCCAGUCCCCAUCUCUGUUCCUUGAGUGGAGGCAGGAAUGUGGUUACAGCCAUUUUACAAUCCAAAUGUGAACUGGAGAAAGUUCCAAGUGAAUGUAAGUUUAUAUUUUGAGUUUAUAUUUUUAACUUGUCAAACUUUUAUUAUCGGCUUGUAAUAAUAAAGAUUUCACCUGCUGCACACAUGCUUGCUCAAAAUAAUAAUUUUAUUGAUGUUGGGCCAGCUUCUAAUACAGCAUGGGGGACAAUCUGACUUUAUUUAGACUGAUGAAAUCCAUGAUUUGCAAACUUGCCGAAGCUUUGCUUUAUGGUAGUUAAUUAUAAAAUGUGCUAAGUGACUCUCUUCACCAUGAAAGAUUCCAAAAUGCUUCCUCAGCUGAAAGCAGGCAACUGAAAAAGCUGAAGCCAAAUGUUUGGCUGGAGACCUAGGAAGUGGUUGAGACACAACAGCAUAGCUGCCUGCGUUUUGCUGUGGUUAGAGUGCGUUCUCUGGUUGUGCUGAUCUGCGUGGGACUGUGCUCCCAUCGAUGAUUAGAUUAAACAAGGCCGUGUUUUGAAAAGCUGCAGAGGCCCUGGAAACACCAUAGACCAACGCCAAGUGCACAGAAUCAGAUGUCAGGACUGGCUGUGAGAUGUGAAAUGAAAGGAAGCUAGGAUUAAACUUGGUAUUUUCCCCCAAACCAUAGCUUUAAUCAACACAAACUGAGCAUUUUUUCAAUCCAGUUUGGGCCAGUGCCACACUGUGUCUUUCUUGGCCCCCAGAUGAAAGGUGGGAAUAGGACUUUGUUGUAGGUCUGGCAACAUUGAGAGAUUUAGUGUUUAGCAUCAGUUGUUUGUUUUAUAAAUCAAAUCCCAAUUAAUAUUUCUCUAAGGGAGGCCUAUAGAUUGUUUGCCAUAUGUGGAAACCCAACCAGUUGAAGGUGGCCUAAGAAGUAAAUAUCUCACACACUUAAUGCAUGAUUUUUUUUCUCCUUAUGAUAAGAAAUGUCCUUUUCUCUCCCAAAUCAAGAGUGUCUAGAAAUGUCAAAAUUCAUCAAAAUGACUGAGUAUUGGAAUACUCAUAAGUAAAAGUAUAAUAAGCCCAGGAUGUCAAUGAGAACAACAAAAUAGCUAACAAUUACUGGGCAAUAGAUAUUUGUCAGGUCUGUAUAUUGAGCACUUUGCAUCUUUAAUAUCAUUGAGUCCUCACAAAACACCAUGAAGUAAGCACUUUUAAUGAGUCGCCCAAGAGACAGGAAACUGACAUACAGAGACAUUUCUAAACUUGUCUAAGGUCAACAACUAGUAAACUGGUAAAAUUCUAACCCAUUUCAUCUGGCCACAGACCCCAAGAUUUUGAUACUAUCCUCUAAUGGUUUGUUGGUGCUCAUUUUGAAGGCGAUAAUCUUGAAUUUGAUUCAGAAGGAUAUUGACACAGCUAGUUAUAAGCUCCUGCGGGGAAGUCACAUGGGUUUCUCUCACUGUGCCCUGGCUCCAGCUACUGUGGAACUGGCUGCCCGUUUCUUUGGGCGCUUAAAAGGUCUUCAGAUUGCCCAUGACUCUCAUUGCCCUUGAGCGAGCGUGCCUGUCCCAGCCAGCUGACAUACUUUUUCAUGGAGGAGGGACCAUUCCUCUGCCCUAGGAAGAGUCCGCCUCUCUUUCAAUGGAUGCUCAAGCAAGUCAGCUCCUGACCGACUCUUGAGGAUCUUACAAAAUCCCCAUCUCCUUUUAGCUCUCGCUGAAGUGGGACUCAGAUUCGUUCAUGCUCAGAAUGGCAAUGUUCUCUGAGGGCCAAAUAAGAAUUUCCUAUCUGUAUCUUCAGCAGAAAUGAAGUUGCAGUGCUAAAUUAGUAAAUGUAGGGAGUGUACAAGUCACAAUAGUAUGCCAAGUAGCAUGCCAAAAUACUCAUAAAAUUAUACCAAAGAAUUUUAAAAUCAACUGCUUUGCUUAUAUAACUGAAAUCUUUAAAAUGAUAUGCCUUACCACUAUAUGAAAGAAAAAAAUUGAGGUACUCUCCCAGGCCCCUCAAAGUUAAAUUGGUAUUUGCCACAUGGCCUGCAUUUUAAAUCCGAAACCUAAUACCUACCCUCCAUAGGAAGUGAAAAUCCCUUAAUAAAAAUGCGCAUGGCAAGUGCUAUUUAUGUAUGUAGAUUUGGAGGGGGGAAAAGGCUCUUAGUCCUUUAAAUAAAUAUGACUAUUUUAUGAAAUAGAAUGCAAAAAGUACAUGUUUUUUUUUUCCAAUAUAAAAUAAAUAUUAUGUUGCAGAGGUCACUUAAAGCCAUUUCCCCUCUCAUUUAUGCCAGGGGGAAAAACUCAAGUGUGAAAUUUCCCUACAAAUCCCAGUGUUAGCUGAGAAACAUUGUGCCUUGGAAAAAUUCAGGCAGCACAGAGUGUAUUCUCAACCCGUGUUUGAUAUACUAAGUAACUUUAAGCCACGUUCAAUAGGGCAUGAAUGACAGAUUCUGUUUUUCUGUGAGCUGAGCUGUGGGUUCCCUGGAAAACUCAACAUACCCUCCCCCAAAAAACUGGAAGAACCCCUCCAAUCUCCUGUUGCAUGUGAUUUGGGGUGCACUCUGCAGAUCGUGAUGGGCUUUCAUGUUCCUUACCAAAUAAAACGUGACUGCUGGUGGGAGGUUUUCCCUAAGAAAACUUGCUAGCCUAGUAAAUGCUAUUGAAGUAAAUAACUGCUUAAAUAGCAUGAACAUGUUGAGCCUCGGAAGGUCACCAAGUCCUAGCUACUUCAUUUCAGCCACAACAGCAACCAGCUGCUCAGUGGACAACUUUGUUAUGAGGUGUUGGUGAUUUAACAAGUUGGCCAAAAGUA